UACGAAGGGGGCUAGCGUUGUUCGGGAUUACUGGGCGUAAAGCGCACGUAGGCGGAUUGUUAAGUUAGGGGUGAAAUCCCAGGGCUCAACCCUGGAACUGCCUUUAAUACUGGCAAUCUCGAGUCCGAGAGAGGUGAGUGGAAUUCCGAGUGUAGAGGUGAAAUUCGUAGAUAUUAGGAAGAACACCAGUGGCGAAGGCGGCUCACUGGCCCGGUACUGACGCUGAGGCGCGAAAGCGUGGGGAGCAAACAGG
rnacentral:rRNA from 1 species